CCUACGGGAGGCAGCAGUAGGGGAUAUUGCUCAAUGGGGGAAACCCUGAAGCAGCAACGCCGCGUGGAGGAUGAAGGUUUUCGGAUUGUAAACUCCUGUUGUUAGUGAAGAUAAUGACGGUAACUAACGAAUAAGCACCGGCUAACUCCGUGCCAGCAGCCGCGGUAAUACGGAGGGUGCAAGCGUUACUCGGAAUCACUGGGCGUAAAGAGUGCGUAGGCGGGAUAGCAAGUCAGAUGUGAAAUCCUAUGGCUUAACCAUAGAACUGCAUUUGAAACUGUUAUUCUUGAGUAUGGGAGAGGUAGGUGGAAUUCUCGGUGUAGGGGUAAAAUGCGUAGAGAUCGAGAGGAAUACUCGUGGCGAAGGCGACCUGCUAGAACAUAACUGACGCUGAUGCGCGAAAGCGUGGGGAGCAAACAGGAUUAGAUACCCGGGUAGUC
rnacentral:rRNA from 1 species